rnacentral:rRNA from 1 species
AUUGAACGCUGGCGGCAUGCCUUACACAUGCAAGUCGAACGGUAACGGGCCUUCGGGUGCCGACGAGUGGCGAACGGGUGAGUAAUGUAUCGGAACGUACCUUUCAGUGGGGGAUAACGUAGCGAAAGUUACGCUAAUACCGCAUAUUCUGUGAGCAGGAAAAGCAGGGGAUCGCAAGACCUUGCGCUGAUUGAGCGGCCGAUAUCAGAUUAGCUAGUUGGUGAGGUAAAGGCUCACCAAGGCGACGAUCUGUAGCGGGUCUGAGAGGAUGAUCCGCCACACUGGAACUGAGACACGGUCCAGACUCCUACGGGAGGCAGCAGUGGGGAAUUUUGGACAAUGGGGGCAACCCUGAUCCAGCCAUGCCGCGUGAGUGAAGAAGGCCUUCGGGUUGUAAACCUCUGUCUGGGGGGACGAGUAAGGACGGUACCCCCGGAGGAAGCCCCCGGCUAACUACGUG